CCCUACGGGGGGCAGCAGUGGGGAAUAUUGCACAAUGGGGGAAACCCUGAUGCAGCAACGCCGCGUGAGUGAAGAAGUAUUUCGGUAUGUAAAGCUCUAUCAGCAGGGAAGAAAAUGACAGUACCUGACCAAGAAGCCCCGGCUAACUACGUGCCAGCAGCCGCGGUAAUACGUAGGGGGCAAGCGUUAUCCGGAUUUACUGGGUGUAAAGGGAGCGUAGACGGUUAUGUAAGUCUGGAGUGAAAGCCCGGGGCCCAACCCCGGGACUGCUUUGGAAACUGUGUAACU
rnacentral:rRNA from 1 species